GGGGGAUUAGCUCAAAAGGAGAGCGGUCGGCCUACACCCGGCAGACGAGGGCGCGAUACCUUCAUCCCCUACCA
rnacentral:tRNA from 1 species